GAAAUGCGAUAAGUAGUGUGAAUUGCAGAAUUCAGUGAAUCAUCGAAUCUUUGAACGCACAUUGCGCCCUUUGGUAUUCCAAAGGGCAUGCCUGUUCGAGCGUCAUUUGUACCCUCAAGCUUUGCUUGGUGUUGGGCGUCUUGUCUCCAGUUCGCUGGAGACUCGCCUUAAAGUAAUUGGCAGCCGGCCUACUGGUUUCGGAGCGCAGCACAAGUCGCGCUCUCUUCCAGCCAAGGUCAGCAUCCACAAAGCCUUUUUUCAACUUUUGACCUCGGAUCAGGUAGAGAUACCCGCUGAACUUAAGC
rnacentral:misc_RNA from 1 species